UAGGGAAUCUUCCACAAUGGACGCAAGUCUGAUGGAGCAACGCCGCGUGAGUGAAGAAGGUCUUCGGAUCGUAAAGCUCUGUUGUUGGUGAAGAAGGAUAGAGGCAGUAACUGGUCUUUAUUUGACGGUAAUCAACCAGAAAGUCACGGCUAACUACGUGCCAGCAGCCGCGGUAAUACGUAGGUGGCAAGCGUUGUCCGGAUUUAUUGGGCGUAAAGCGAGCGCAGGCGGAAUGAUAAGUCUGAUGUGAAAGCCCACGGCUCAACCGUGGAACUGCAUCGGAAACUGUCAUUCUUGAGUGCAGAAGAGGAGAGUGGAACUCCAUGUGUAGCGGUGGAAUGCGUAGAUAUAUGGAAGAACACCAGUGGCGAAGGCGGCUCUCUGGUCUGCAACUGACGCUGAGGCUCGAAAGCAUGGGUAGCGAACAGGAUUAGAUACCCUGGUAGUCCAUGCCGUAAAACGAUGAGCGCUAGGU
rnacentral:rRNA from 1 species